rnacentral:rRNA from 1 species
GAUCAUGGCUCAGGACGAACGCUGGCGGCGCGCCUAACACAUGCAAGUCGAACGGAGGAUUACAGGCGGAAGUUUUCGGUAUGGAAGCUUGUAACUUAGUGGCGGACGGGUGAGUAACACGUGAGCAACCUGCCUAUCAGAGGGGGGAUUAACGAUUGGAAACGAUCGCUAAUACCGCAUGACAUAGCGGAACCGCAUGGUUCUGUUAUCAAAGAUUUUAUCGCUGAUAGAUGGGCUCGCG